rnacentral:rRNA from 1 species
UACGAAGGGGGCUAGCGUUGCUCGGAAUUACUGGGCGUAAAGGGAGCGUAGGCGGGUCGUCAAGUUGGGGGUGAAAGCCCAGGGCUCAACCCUGGAACUGCCUUCAAAACUGGCGACCUAGAGUAUGGUAGAGGUGUGUGGAACUCCGAGUGUAGAGGUGAAAUUCGUAGAUAUUGGGAAGAACACCGGUGGCGAAGGCGGCUCACUGGCCCGUAACUGACGCUCAUGCACGACAGCGUGGGGAUCAAACAGG